UCCUUGGCAUAAGGUCAUGCUUGGAAAGACCUUUAGGAGUGGUUUGGGAGUGAGGUGCUUAAAAAAAAAACACUCAUGAAAAAAAGCUGUAAGGGUUUUAGGUGUUUGGUAAACUAAAAAAAAAGGCUUAUUUUGGAAGCUGCUGUGAGAAUAAGCUGAAAUCAAAGAAAAAAGCUAAAGCAGCUAUUUACAGCUUUGGAAAACUAGUUUUUUUUCAAAGCACACAGAGUUACAGUGCUUCUUUAACGAAAAUACCCACUAUCAGACUGCUUUUUUUUCCAAAAGCACUUUUACAAAAAAAUUUACCAAACACUCAGCUGAUUUAUUUCACA
rnacentral:lncRNA from 1 species